UUAUAAUGUUAGGGAGCAGCUUAUUGAUGUCCUGAUACAGGUUUAUAAUGUUAGGGAGCAGGUUAUUGAUGUCCUGAUGCAGGUUUAUAAUGUUAGGGAGCAGAUUAUUGAUGUUCUGAUACAGGUUUAUAAUGUUAGGGAGCAGAUUAUUGAUGUCCUGAUGCUGGUUUAUAAUGUUAGGGAGCAGAUUAUUGAUGUCCUGAUGCAGGUUUAUAAUGUUAGGGAGCAGUUUAUUGAUGUCCUGAUGCAGAUUAUUGAUGUCCUGAUGCAGGUUUAUUGAUGUCCUGAUGCAGGUUUAUAAUGUUAGGGAGCAGAUUAUUGAUGUCCUGAUGCUGGUUUAUAAUGUUAGGGAGCAGCUUAUUGAUGUCCUGAUGCAGAUUAUUGAUGUCCUGAUGCAGGUUUAUAAUGUUAGGGAGCAGAUUAUUGAUGUCCUGAUGCUGGUUUAUAAUGUUAGGGAGCAGCUUAUUGAUGUCCUGAUGCAGGUUUAUAAUGUUAGGGAGCAGAUUAUUGAUGUCCUGAUGCAGGUUUAUAAUGUUAGGGAGCAGAUUAUUGAUGUCCUGAUGCAGGUUUAUUGAUGUCCUGAUGCUGGUUUAUAAUGUUAGGGAGCAGCUUAUUGAUGUCCUGAUACAGGUUUAUAAUGUUAGGGAGCAGUUUAUUGAUGUCCUGAUGCAGGUUUAUAAUGUUAGGGAGCAGUUUAUUGAUGUCCUGAUACAGGUUUAUAAUGUUAGGGAGCAGUUUAUUGAUGUCCUGAUACAGGUUUAUAAUGUUAGGGAGCAGCUUAUUGAUGUCCUGAUGCAGGUUUAUAAUGUUAGGGAGCAGCUUAUUGAUGUCCUGAUGCAGGUUUAUAAUGUUAGGGAGCAGAUUAUUGAUGUCCUGAUGCUGGUUUAUAAUGUUAGGGAGCAGAUUAUUGAUGUCCUGAUGCAGGUUUAUAAUGUUAGGGAGCAGGUUAUUGAUGUCCUGAUGCAGGUUUAUAAUGUUAGGGAGCAGAUUAUUGAUGUCCUGAUGCAGGUUUAUAAUGUUAGGGAGCAGAUUAUUGAUGUCCUGAUGCAGGUUUAUAAUGUUAGGGAGCAGGUUAUUGAUGUCCUGAUGCAGGUUUAUAAUGUUAGGGAGCAGUUUAUUGAUGUCCUGAUACAGGUUUAUAAUGUUAGGGAGCAGAUUAUUGAUGUCCUGAUGCAGGUUUAUAAUGUUAGGGAGCAGUUUAUUGAUGUCCUGAUGCAGGUUUAUAAUGUUAGGGAGCAGCUUAUUGAUGUCCUGAUGCUGGUUUAUAAUGUUAGGGAGCAGAUUAUUGAUGUCCUGAUGCAGGUUUAUAAUGUUAGGGAGCAGGUUAUUGAUGUCCUGAU